AACUCUAACCUUGAGGGCCCUGCUGCUGGUUCUGGGGCUGGUUCUGGACUUAUAGGUGGUGUCAUGCACUGCUCUAAGGUAUUCUGUUCGUCUCUCAGCAUCAGCAUCUCUACAUUGCCUGUAAAGGCGCUGUUUCUCAGCUGCAGAAAGAGGCAUCCUAACAGACAAAAUCAGCAAAAACAGGCAUUUUAAGAGGUGUUUAGCCAGGGAGUGAGAUGUUGACGUGGUGUGACUUGUCUCAUCAAAUAGGAGGCUCGGUGUGAUGAACAGCAGCAACCCCUGUGUCAGAACUACAUCGCCCAGAAUCCAUUUCAGGCUGCAGAAAAGGGAGACUUCUCUGAGGUCAGGACACCUAUAAAAGAUUCUUUCUUUGUUAAAAGCUUCACA